rnacentral:rRNA from 1 species
UACGAGGGGGGCAAGCGUUGUUCGGAAUUAUUGGGCGUAAAGAGCUCGUAGGCGGUUCGUCGCGUCUGCUGUGAAAACCCGAGGCUCAACCUCGGGCCUGCAGUGGGUACGGGCAGACUAGAGUGCGGUAGGGGAGAUUGGAAUUCCUGGUGUAGCGGUGGAAUGCGCAGAUAUCAGGAGGAACACCGAUGGCGAAGGCAGAUCUCUGGGCC